rnacentral:rRNA from 1 species
GACGAACGCUGGCGGCGUGCCUAAUACAUGCAAGUCGAACGCAGUGGGGACGGGUGAGUAACACGUGGGUAACCUCCCAUCAGAGGGGAAAACACUUGGAAACAGGUGCUAAACCGAUAGGGUUGGAUGGUGCCGCGGUGCAUUAGCUAUUUGGUGAGGUAACGGCUAACCAAGGCAACGAUGCAUAGCCGACCUGAGAGGGUGACCGGCCACACGGGGACUGAGACACGGCCCAGACUCCUACGGGAGGCAGCAGUGGGAAAUCUUCGGCAAUGGGCGAAAGUCUGACCGAGCCACGCCGCGUGAUGGAAGAAGGUUUUCGGAUCGUAAAACUCUUUUGGUCGAGAAGCGGUAUCUAACCAGAAAGCCACGGCUAACUACGUGCCAGCAGCCGCGGUAAUUC